rnacentral:rRNA from 1 species
GGCGGCGCGCCUAACACAUGCAAGUCGAACGAGAGAGAAGGAGCUUGCUUCUUCGAUCGAGUGGCGAACGGGUGAGUAACGCGUGAGGAACCUGCCUCAAAGAGGGGGACAACAGUUGGAAACGACUGCUAAUACCGCAUAAGCCCACGGGUCGGCAUCGACCUGAGGGAAAAGGAGUGAUCCGCUUUGAUAUGGCCUCGCGUCCGAUUAGCUAGUUGGUGAGGUAACGGCCCACCAAGGCGACGAUCGGUAGCCGGACUGAGAGGUUGAACGGCCACAUUGGGACUGACACACGGCCCAGACUCCUACGGGAGGCAGCAGUGGGGAAUAUUGCACAAUGGGGGAAACCCUGAUGCAGCGACGCCGCGUGGAGGAAGAAGGUCUUCGGAUUGUAAACUCCUGUUGUUGAGGAAGAUAAUGACGGUACUCAACCAGGAAGUGACGGCUAACUACGUGCCAGCAGCCGCGGUAAAACGUACGUCACAAGCGUUGUCCGGAAUUACUGGGUGUAAAGGGAGCGCAGGCGGGAAGACAAGCUGGAAGUGAAAUCUAUGGGCUCAACCCAUAAACUGCUUUCAAAACUGUUUUUCUUGAGUAGU